rnacentral:ncRNA from 2 species
CUGAUAAAUGGAAGCUAUGAUAUGCUAUUAGAAAUUUGGGCACCUAUUAAUAGCAUGGAGCAAGUGGUGCAACCGACCAUUGAACUU